GUUUAUUGGGUUGCUAUAAAAAAACAUGGAUUCACUUUGAAACAAAAAUUUCGGAGUCCUGCGAUUCUCACGGUGAAGCUCGAUUGAGGUUUUCCCUGAAACAGAGCGACGGAGAUGCUCGCAUUUGAGAAGAUUGCCUAAAAUCGAGUUUAUUGAAGGUUGUAAACUUCAUAACUAGGAUUUACCCUCUUUCCAAAUCAGACGAUCGACUCCGAGGUUUGAAUCUGCAAAAUCGAAGCUUGAUUUAAGGUUGCAGUUGCUCGACUUGGGAUCUAAAGCAUUGAAAUCAGGUUGAAAACAAAGGUUGUGGAAUGUUCAAAUGGAUAUCAAGUUCAAGCCCAAGUUGUGAUACUUACCAGACUCCACCUAGGUCCCUAUGCUCAGAAACAUCAACUUCAUCAUUUCCUUCCCCUUCAUCAGACUAUAUCAAAGGAUACUUGAACGGUGCAAUAAAAGAAUCUGAGGGUCAUAUGAGGAUGUUGAGAGAUGU